rnacentral:rRNA from 1 species
AUGAACGCUGGCGGCGUGCCUAAUCCCUGCAAGUCGAGCGCACAGACGAGGAGCUUGCUCCUCUGACGUUAGCGGCGGACGGGUGAGUAACACGUGGAUAACCUACCUAUAAGACUGGGAUAACUUCGGGAAACCGGAGCUAAUACCGGAUAAUAUAUUGAACCGCAUGGUUCAAUAGUGAAAGACGGUUUUGCUGUCACUUAUAGAUGGAUCCGCGCCGCAGUAGCUAGUUGGUAAGGUAACGGCUUACCAAGGCGACGAUGCGUAGCCGACCUGAGAGGGUGAUCGGCCACACUGGAACUGAGACACGGUCCAGACUCCUACGGGAGGCAGCAGUAGGGAAUCUUCCGCAAUGGGCGAAAGCCUGACGGAGCAACGCCGCGUGAGUGAUGAAGGUCUUCGGAUCGUAAAACUCUGUUAUUAGGGAAGAACAAAUGUGUAAGUAACUAUGCACGUCUUGACGGUACCUAAUCAGAAAGCCACGGCUAACUACGUG